UUUCAUUUUCUUUUUUGUCGCAUUACAAUGAUUAUUAAUAUAGAUCUAGAAGCCUAUAUAUUAUUAGGCCUAUGUAGGUUCUAAUUACUGUGAUAAGACUAGAGUCUAACCCUGACCCUAACCCUAAUCCUGGAAAACGCAUAUUCGGAAUUAAAAGCGGAAUCUUAACAAUCGCCGACUUUCCUUACUUUAAGUGGAAAAUUACGUUGUGAAACAUGUUUUGUUGAUUUUUGCCAUGCAACUUUCUCCUCGUGAUUUCUUUAAAAAAUUAAUUUUGGUGUGUUUUACGGGGCUCACAACUGCAUCAUAAGGUCAUGAGCACGCUGGACACCCCCCCUAAUUUUGAGGGUAUCGGGUCUUUACGCCAUUUCUUUUCGGAAAAGACUCGAAAAAACAUCUGAUUUGCAUCCCUUCUCACUUCUUCAGGCUCAUUUUCAUCAAAAUUGGGAUCUUUCAAGGUUGACUGUGAGGUGCAGUUGAUCGUUCGUUUGAAUAGACCGAAAGGACAGGAUCCAUUCCUCAAGGUCAUCAAGCUGGUCACGGGCCACAAAGAUCAUGUUGUGUCGAAAGAGGUGUUUCAAAUCUAUCCCAAACAGAGGCGCUUUUCUCCGGAUGAACUGGACUAGACCAUCCUGGCGUCAAGUACAAUGAAAACGGCGGAAAAAAGAUCCAUUGUGGAAAGACAGCAUGCAAAGUCUGUUCUAACGAAGGAUAUUUAUAAUUGUGCCAGACUGUUUGUUGGGGGUGGGGGGAAUUCCGAUGGGGAUGCAUGUCAGGGGAUUUUGGAUGGUGUUGUGCAAGAGGAUGGCUUUGGGAGGGUGGGACAGGAUGAAAGUAGGGGUUUUUAUUUUUUGUGUUUAACAAACCAGAGCUAUGGGGGACACUCUACGUAAGUUCCCUGAAGUCCUAGUGAUGGACUGCACCUAUAAAAUAAACCAUUUUCUUUACCCUUUACUCGCAGUUAUGUCUUUAGAUGGGGAUGGUCAGGGUAUGCCUGUCUUCCAUGCCAUUUUAUUGCGGGAGGACAGGCAUAUCCUGGCACAGUGUUUAAAGCUUUUGUCAGAUCAAUAUGAAUUAUGACUGUUCAUUGACAUCCUGUUUUGUCAUAGAUAAGGAUAUGGCUGACAUUUCAGCUAUUGGCACAGUGUUUCCUGGCUGCGAGUGAACCUGUGCCAGUUGCACAUUUCUCAGGCAGUGGAACGGCAUUUGAGGAAGUACCUCUGACAAGGGCCCGGGGCUGUAAAAGCUGUCUUAGACACUUUUAUGGCCCAGGUCCUUACAGAGUCUGAGGACGAGUUUUAGGGUCUGAAGAGUGACAUUGAAAAUUUAGUGCCUUCUGAUGUGGCACAGUUCUUUGAGAGUAAUUUGUGGGCCAAGAGACACCUGUGGGCUGCCUCCUGCAAUGUUAAUGUUACAAAAUUGCGUGCCACCUCGACAAAUGCGCUUGAGACCUACCAUUCCAAAAUUAAGAAGACAGUGAAUGAGAAGAUAAGCCUGAGUAGGAUUCUGAGGAACAUCAUCGAGUUUGGUGAUUUAAAAAUUAUGAAGGCUAAUAGAUUAAGAGUUGUUUUGUCUGUCUUUAGGGUCUAUGAUGCCUCAGAUUCAAAUCCAUUUGCAAGAUCUGUCACUAGCUGCAUGACUAGGUUCAGUGCAGAUCUUGUGAAGAAAGAGCUGCGUCUUUCUGAUGGAGUUGAAUAUGAGGUGUGAUCAGAAUCCAGUGAUGGCACCUUUGUUGUCAGCUACAGGGGAGGCUGUACACGACAACAUUGGUUUCAUGCACUUGUAGCACGUUGGGUCACAUGAGACUGCCAUGCCGACAUAUCUUUGUGGACUGUCGGCUUUCAGAUUUACCAGUCUUGGACUGGAGCCUUGUUCCUGACAGAUUCAGGUAUGACUAUGAGACCAUGCAGGACACUAUAGAUACUAGUCACGCAGCAGACUGUGUCACAGUUUCAGUUGGGCCGCCGUGUUAUUGUUCAGCUGAGGGUAGGUGCAGGAAGGCAAGGGGGAUAUGUGAUAGAAUUGUUGAUUUUUUUUAUCUAUUUGUGGUGAGAGGGAAUUUGGGGAAAAGAUAGUGGAGCUUGAGAGUCUGUGAUAGGUAGUUGGUAAGAGGGAAGGGAACAGGUGGGUGUGAUAAAUGAGUUGAGAAGGGAUCAGAUAGGAGGCAGGGAGUUUGGAGAGGAUCAGCGCGUAGGAAGAGGAAUCAUGGUGUAUUUGAGGAGUUUGGAGGGGAUGAGGGUGUGGGGGAGAAAUUAAGAGGGAAUCAGUGUGUGGGGGAGGAAUUAAGAGGGGAUCAGGGUGUAGGAAGAGAGUUGGGAGGGUAGUUUGAGGCCUCUUCCUGGCCGCUUAUGAGGAGGAUGGUGAAGCCCCGUGGCAGGCUGUGCAUCAGUCGAAGUUUCACUAAGAAACGUCACAGAAAGUUUCCAAAGAAGUUUUGUAAUUUGUCUUUUUGUGAGAAGCAAUCCUUGCUGAUUGCGUAUGUUUCUAAUUCUGCUUCUUCCGCAGAUCGUUUACUUUCUAUAGAUGAUGUCAAAUCCUACCGAUAUUUUGGGGAUAUUGUAUUAGAUAGUAGUGUGGAGAUUGACAUCAUCAGACUGUUUAUUUCUCUGCUUGAGAUGCAGUUGUAGUUGUUAAUGGUGUAGAAAGUAAACGGUGUGAUAACUUAUUUCAUUGGGGUGACUGCAAAGAGCAGGACGAUCUUACGAUGAAAAUGGUGCAGUGUGAGAGGUGCCUUGUGUGGUUCCACUUUGAGUGUGUUGGCUACAGUUCAAAGAAGAUGGUCAACUGGUUUUGCGAGCCAUAUUACUCUCAUUGCUGAGUGCAAGCCACAGAAGCUUUUAAACUGUAUUCCUACUCCACUUUUGUUCUAUAUUCUUAUAUUCCACAAUUCUUAUGUAUUGAACUGGCAGCAUGCCAUACGUGUCUUCUUAUUCCUCAAUUCUUUGGCAGCAUGCCACGGGUGUCUUCAAAUUCCUCAAUUCUUCUGUAUUUGAAUUGGCAACAUGCCAUCUAGGUGUCUUUUUUUUCCACAAUUAUUCUCACAAUUUGUAUUUUCGAAUUAGCAGCAUGCCACUGGUAGGCUACCUUCUUAUUCCACAAUUAUUCACUUUCCACUCUUACUCUCACAAUUUGUAUUUGAAUUGGCGGCAUGCCUCGGGGUGUCUUCUUAUUCCACAAUUGUUCACACAAUUUACAAUUUUUAAAGGUAUUGUUGGUUUAUUUGGUGAAAAAUAAAUUUUCAUUUUUGAGAAGCCCUCAUGAAAUUAUAUAUGUUGGAUUAUGAAUAAUAUGCUUUUGGAAAAUGUUCAUUACAUUGGUUUUAUGUAAUAAAAACGUUUUUCAAUGAA
rnacentral:lncRNA from 1 species